rnacentral:rRNA from 1 species
AGAGUUUGAUCCUGGCUCAGAACGAACGCUGGCGGCAGGCUUAACACAUGCAAGUCGAGCGCCCCGCGAGGGGAGCGGCGGACGGGUGAGUAACACGUGGGUAACCUGCCUCAAAGAGGGGGAUAGCCUCCCGAAAGGGAGAUUAAUACCGCAUAACAUUAGUUUUUCGCAUGAAGGACUAAUUAAAGGAGUAAUCCGCUUUGAGAUGGACCCGCGGCGCAUUAGCUAGUUGGUGAGGUAAAGGCUCACCAAGGCGACGAUGCGUAGCCGACCUGAGAGGGUGAUCGGCCACAUUGGAACUGAGACACGGUCCAGACUCCUACGGGAGGCAGCAGUGGGGAAUAUUGCACAAUGGGCGAAAGCCUGAUGCAGCAACGCCGCGUGAGUGAUGAAGGCCUUCGGGUUGUAAAGCUCUGUCUUUUGGGACGAUAAUGACGGUACCAAAGGAGGAAGCCACGGCUAACUACGUGCCAGCAGCCGCGGUAAUACGUAGGUGGCGAGCGUUGUCCGGAUUUACUGGGCGUAAAGGAUGCGUAGGCGGAUAUUUAAGUGAGAUGUGAAAUACCCGGGCUUAACUUGGGUGCUGCAUUUCAAACUGGAUAUCUAGAGUGCGGGAGAGGAGAAUGGAAUUCCUAGUGUAGCGGUGAAAUGCGUAGAGAUUAGGAAGAACACCAGUGGCGAAGGCGAUUCUCUGGACCGUAACUGACGCUGAGGCAUGAAAGCGUGGGUAGCAAACAGGAUUAGAUACCCUGGUAGUCCACGCCGUAAACGAUGAGUACUAGGUGUAGGGGGGUCCAACC